GACGAACGCUGGCGGCGUGCUUAACACAUGCAAGUCGAACGGUAAGGCUCCAGCUUGCUGGGGUACACGAGUGGCGAACGGGUGAGUAACACGUGGGUGACCUGCCCUGCACUUCGGGAUAAGCCUGGGAAACUGGGUCUAAUACCGGAUAGGACCGCACCGUGAGGGUGUGGUGGAAAGUUUUUUCGGUGUGGGAUGGGCCCGCGGCCUAUCAGCUUGUUGGUGGGGUAAUGGCCUACCAAGGCGGCGACGGGUAGCCGGCGGGAGAGGGUGGACGGCGACAGGGGGACAGAGAGGCGGGCGAGAGUGCUGCGGGAGGCAGGAGGGGGGAAGAGUGAAGAAUGGGCGGAAGCCGGAUGCAGCAAUGCCGGGUGGGGGAGGACGGCCGUCGGGUUGUAAAACGCGUUCGCCUGUGAAGAAGAGGGAGUGACGGGAAUGGGUAAAGAAGAAAAGGCGAACGACGUG
rnacentral:rRNA from 1 species